GCGGUGUAACUUGCAAGAGUGAGAAUGAAUGAAUGAAUGAAUACAUGUUAUGGCAUCUGGCGGGUUUAUAUAUGGUGAGCGGUUAAAACCAUUCUCGCUUAAUCUGGUGUGGGCUGUGAGAGACCAACUAAUCUGAUCGGAUGGUUUUUAAUGGACCAAUAACUCACAUCAGGUGGGGGGCCAUCUAACCAGGAUCCAUCUAUUCAUCGUCCUUCAACGAAGAUACUUUGGAUUGGGCCUUCAAAGUAGGGUCGUUCUUGAUGGGCAUUUGGCUGACUCAUAAUAGUCUUCCUCCAAGUCUUUCUUAUCGCUUGUGAAGAUAGGAUUGAGUUGGAGCUUCAAAGUCGGCCUCAAGACUGUUAUUAUUUAGUUCCUUGAUUACAUGGGUUGGUCCACACUUUAGAGGAUAUGACUAGAGGAAUUCGUUGAGUAGGAGGAGGUACGCUCGAGAACACACGCAUUAAAUAUUUGUAUUGUAACAAAAAUGUUUCCAACAUCAUUCUUUCAUGUGGCCCUGGGUCUAGAGGUAAAGGCGGCUUGUUUAGGAUACUCGAGUGUCAUGGAGAAUCGAGGUUUAAUUAGGAUCGUUAGUGGUGAUGGUGCAUUUUCCCAAACCCAUCAUUGUUAAUCGUGUGGACGUCUGUAGUUAUUGUAUGAAGGUAAAAGGGUCAAUUUGGUCUUAUUUUACCCUUCCCACUUGUGAGACUCGAGGAUUCAUGUGUUAUCCUCCGCUGUAUCUAACCAUAAGUUAUACCGCUCUUCUUCUCCUCAGUAUCACUUCUUUGUUCUGACAACUCUCACAGUGUUUAUGAGGCUUAACCCCUACGCACUCCAAAAGCUGCGACUUUUCAAGGUUGAGUAGCUGAUAUAGCACGCACAAAUUUGGUGGUUUGGACAUGAGGUUUUAGCAUACAUAGGCAUGGUAUUUGUGGGGGUUAAGGCAUGAAGUUAUGGCAAUGCAAUAUGAGGUUUGGCUUGGCGAUGGCAUGGACGGGGUCAUGGGAGAUUUGGUGAAGCUGAAAAGUAAUAUGGACAUGGAGAUGAAGAAAGAUAGGUUUAGGGAGAAGUUUGACUUUGGUCAACUAUUUGACUAAAGUCAACAGUUGACCAAAAGUCAACUAUUUGUCAAAGUUAGGUUUUUUUGCAUGUAAUCUUUCAUUUCAGAAUUUUUAUAGUGUGUUUUUAUAUACUUGAAUGUACUUUGGCUUUGUAUAGGUUUCCUUAUAUGGAUAACUUGAUAUUUAAGUAAUGAACAUUUUUCCCUCCAUUAUUCAAA